AACGAACGCUGGCGGCAUGCCUAACACAUGCAAGUCGAACGAGACCUUCGGGUCUAGUGGCGCACGGGUGCGUAACGCGUGGGAACCUGCCUUUAGGUUCGGAAUAACUCAGAGAAAUUUGAGCUAAUACCGGAUGAUGUCUUCGGACCAAAGAUUUAUCGCCUUUAGAUGGGCCCGCGUUGGAUUAGCUUGUUGGUGGGGUAAAGGCCUACCAAGGCGACGAUCCAUAGCUGGCCUGAGAGGAUGAUCAGCCACACUGGGACUGAGACACGGCCCAGACUCCUACGGGAGGCAGCAGUGGGGAAUAUUGGACAAUGGGCGAAAGCCUGAUCCAGCAAUGCCGCGUGAGUGAUGAAGGCCUUAGGGUUGUAAAGCUCUUUUACCCGAGAUGAUAAUGACAGUAUCGGGAGAAUAAGCUCCGGCUAACUCCGUG
rnacentral:rRNA from 1 species